AUUGAACGCUGGCGGCAUGCUUUACACAUGCAAGUCGAACGGUAACGCGGACUUCGGUCUGGCGACGAGUGGCGAGCGGGUGAGUAAUGCAUCGGAACGUAUCCAUUUGUGGGGGAUAGCCCGGCGAAAGCCGGAUUAAUACCGCAUAAUCUCCGAGGAGGAAAGUGGGGGACCUUCGGGCCUUACGCUGAUGGAGCGGCUGAUGUCGGAUUAGCUUGUUGGUAGGGUAAAGGCCUACCAAGGCGACGAUCCGUAGCUGGUCUGAGAGGACGACCAGCCACACUGGAACUGAGACACGGUCCAGACUCCUACGGGAGGCAGCAGUGGGGAAUUUUGGACAAUGGGGGCAACCCUGAUCCAGCCAUGCCGCGUGCGGGAAGAAGGCCUUCGGGUUGUAAACCGCUUUCAGACGGAAAGAAACAGUGCAAGCUAAUACCUUGUACGAAUGACGGUACCGUCAGAAGAAGCACCGGCUAACUACGUGCCAGCAGCCGCGGUAAUACGUAGGGUGCGAGCGUUAAUCGGAAUUACUGGGCGUAAAGAGUGCGCAGGCGGCUCUCUAAGACAGGUGUGAAAUCCCCGGGCUUAACCUGGGAAUGGCGCUUGUGACUGGAGAGCUAGAGUGUGGCAGAGGGGAAUGGAAUUCCUGGUGUAGCAGUGAAAUGCGUAGAUAUCAGGAGGAACACCGAUGGCGAAGGCAGUUCCCUGGGCCAACACUGACGCUCAUGCACGAAAGCGUGGGGAGCAAACAGGAUUAGAUACCCUGGUAGUCCACGCCCUAAACGAUGUCAACUAGUUGUUGGGGAAGGAGACUUCUUUAGUAACGUAGCUAACGCGUGAAGUUGACCGCCUGGGGAGUACGGCCGCAAGGUUAAAACUCAAAGGAAUUGACGGGGACCCGCACAAGCGGUGGAUGAUGUGGAUUAAUUCGAUGCAACGCGAAAAACCUUACCUACCCUUGACAUGUGAGGAACUUGUGAGAGAUCACU
rnacentral:rRNA from 1 species